UGGGUUGUGGCUCAGUGGUAGAGCGCUUGCCUAGCAUGUGUGAGGCACUGGGUUCAAUUCUCAGCACCACAU
rnacentral:tRNA from 1 species